UACGUAGGGUGCAAGCGUUGUCCGGAAUUACUGGGCGUAAAGAGUUCGUAGGCGGUUUGUCGCGUCGUUUGUGAAAACUCACAGCUCAACUGUGAGCCUGCAGGCGAUACGGGCAGACUUGAGUACUGCAGGGGAGACUGGAAUUCCUGGUGUAGCGGUGAAAUGCGCAGAUAUCAGGAGGAACACCGGUGGCGAAGGCGGGUCUCUGGGCAGUAACUGACGCUGAGGAACGAAAGCGUGGGUAGCAAACGGG
rnacentral:rRNA from 1 species